ACGCUCGACACCUACGGGAGCAGCAGUGGGGAAUAUUGCACAAUGGGGGAAACCCUGAUGCAGCGACGCCGCGUGAGUGAAGAAGUAUUUCGGUAUGUAAAGCUCUAUCAGCAGGGAAGAAGAUGACGGUACCUGAGUAAGAAGCCCCGGCUAACUACGUGCCAACAGCCGCGGUAAUCUGAGCGGGCUGGCAAGGC
rnacentral:rRNA from 1 species